UUUCCGUAGGUGAACCUGCGGAAGGAUCAUUAUUGUAUAAUUGAGGUUCGAGGUCGGUCUUUGACCCGAAUGCUCGUGCACGCCCGAGUGCCCUCCCUCACAUCCAUUUCACCCCUAUGUGCAUCACCGUGCGGUUCUCGCUUUUGUUUGUCCGUAGGGUGGCUAAUGUUUUCAUACCAUUGUUUUAUGCAGCGCUUAAUGUAAUUUUUGUUCUACUUUUCACGCAAUCAAUACAACCUUCAACAACGGAUCUCUUGGCUGCCGCUCCGAAGAACAACC
rnacentral:misc_RNA from 1 species